rnacentral:lncRNA from 1 species
CUCGUCUCCAUUACAAUGUUCAUGGGCUUUCAAUGCUUUACUUGCCCCUCUCCAUGAGGUUCCACUGGUAAGCAAUUAUAUUUCACUAACAAUUGUUACACAAAGAUGGUUUGAAAAAUUUGGUUGCUGGUUUUGUGAUGUGAAAUAUCUUGCCAUUUGUUUGACGUUUUGUUAUGUUCCAUUUGGAUCUUGUAUAUUUGUUUUAUGUGUUUAAGGUUGAGUUCAUACCAACAUUAGCGUAAGAGAUCUGGCAAGGUGGCGUGAAUCAUAUCCAGAAGAUGGGACAUAAGGCAGAGAUGCAAUAUCUGUGUUUACAGGAGUAAGUGAUCAUUUUUUGAAACGAAUUAUGGGGGGGUUUCUUUUUUUUUUUUUCAGUUCCUCAUUUCCCUUCACUGACCCCCCCCCCCCUUUUGUACUCGUCCCGCAUCUGCCAUUCCCUCUUCCAUUUGUUUUUCCCCUAGUAUGUUCUGUGAAGAAAACUGAAGCGUUCAGUUCCAUAUUAUUUUUUUCUUGAAAAUGUGUUGUUGCACUUAUUUUUAGUCACGGUUUGUUAUCACCUGCUACUUGGUAACUUCAUGAUUGGCUCCUUGUUUGGAAAAAUAUUAUGGAAAUUAAGCAAGGAAAUAAUAUUCUUGACUGCAUAGAUUGGGUGAGGUGAUAUGAAAUGGUGAAAAAAAGAAAACCAGCAUUAUAAUCUCCCUCAUUUACAGGGAGUGGACAAUUAAUAUUACACAAAUUUAACAGGUUUUGGACUAUUUAUAUUGUCGUAUCAGUUACGUGUGUCUUUGGAGCUUCAAGUUUCAGAUUGCGCUCUAAGCCUGCUUAGGUCAAAGAUAAAUCUUGUGAUGUACCUAACUUUUUUAUCGAUGAGGGAAUACUUAGAGGGAAAUAUUCUGUAUCAGAAACAGAAUAGGAACAUUAUGCUCAAAGUUGUUGACUCCAAAAUUGCAGAGGUUAUUGUAUAUGAUUGUUUACAAUUCUAAUAUCUAGGUUCCAACAAUAUGUAUACUAAUUGAUACAAGGUAUGAAGCAAUGGAUCCAGAAUUAAAAGAGGGAUUGGGCUCGCUUCAGCUGCAAGCAAAUUGCGUCUUAUGGUAAUUAACUUGCAACUCAUUGAAAAAUAUCAUUUGAAAUUUUAAUUGUAGUUAUGAUUUUGAGCAUGUGGUUUUAAGUGGCAAAUUUAUUUCCUUAAACUUAAAUGUUUGUAAUAUAAAUUUCAAGAGAAAUUUUCUUACAAUAUCAUUCUUUUGUUCUCCUUUACCCAAGAGAAUGAUGAAUUCUUUUUCCUCAAUUCCAGAUGUGUGGUUCCUCUGCGCUUCCUUAUCCUGUCAUGCAACAGUGGGAAACCAUAACAGAUAAUCGUCUUUUAGACGAUAUGGUAGACUGAGUGUGUACUAGCUGUUCUACAUGAAACCCUUUUUCAGGUGUACACUUUAAGGGGAAGGGUAUUUUUGGUUUUAUUUAUUUAGAUAUAUUUUCUGUGUCUUUAAUUAUUUAUUUUUGUAGAUUUUUGUCAUGUGGCAAUUUCAAAUCCCUUGAGAGUGCAAUAGGAAAGGAGGCACUGUUGGAAAACCAUUGCCGGUGUGCAGGUCGUGGGGUUCAUUUACUGCUGUAGGCAUUCAACAAUAUAACCACUUCAAGUUAGAUUAGCGCCGUGCUGAAUGUGACCAAUUAUUCUGUUGAAGUUCUCAGAGGUUUCUUGAAUGAGAAUAGGGAGCCCAUUCUCUAUCCUAUCCAUCUAAAGACUUCUUUUGAUGAAUAUACACAUUUGGGUUUUAUGAUAGGCCAAGAUAUACUUUGCCAGAUGGGACUGGAGAUGAUACAACAGGUGUGGGUGAGCUAUGCAUUAAACCCUCAUUGUAAGGAAUUUGGAAACUUACAGAGGUACUACUCCAUUAUUAUGGCAUAUCAUCAUAUUUUAACUUUCUAAUUUGUCGCUAGCUCAUGAGUUGACCCCUCUCUGUCCUGUCUGUCCUGUCUGUCCUCUCUUCCUUCUUUUCUCUGUGUAUUAUGUACUUUAAAUUUUCUUGUGCUUUCUGUAUCAAUGCAUGAGACCAAAUCCCGUCAUAUUGUGUUAUAGAUUUUUGUUUCUGUUCAUGUAUUUUCUGGAGAUAUCCCAUGUGUCCUCAAGAAUUGUUGUUGCUUAUUCCCUGUGGAAACCAUUCGACAAGUGCAAAGAGAGGAACAGAUAUAAUAUCUUCAUGAAGAUUGUAACUGCUUCAUUUUAUCCGAGGUGGAAACUAUAACCUGUCCAUUCUUGCUAGCGUUUCACUGUUUCCUGUUAAGAUUCCAUUCUGAAUUUUCACCUUGAAGCUUUUUCUUAGUGUGUCAUUUAUGAACUGGGAUUACUUAGCUAACUCAAGUGCGAUGACCUAAACUUAUAGUUCCUUCUUUUCUUCAAUUUUAUGUUUCUUCUGUUAGCAUCUUUGAUGCUAGUAUGAUUUUACUAAAGCAUAUUAUGAAACUAAACAGGGAUUUAAUAUUAUAAAUAAUGUAAUGGUUUCAGUUUGUAAUUUCUCAGUUUCUCAUUCUGGCAUAUGCAAUCACCUAUUAGGUAACCAAGGAGUCGUUCAUUGAUGGUGGAUUUUUCAAGACCGGAGACGCUGUGAAACUGGAUGAAGAUGGAUACUACAUCAAUUUUGGGACGUAGCAAAAAAAAAACAAAAAAAAUAAAAAAAAAAGCUUAGUUUUCAGGCAUGCAUGUAGCUAGUUUUUUUCACCUUGAAAAUACCUACUGGACAAGCGUUGCUUUACGCUGCCAAUGCAUGCGAUUUGAUGCACUCCUCGGUUCAGCACUACCAAGUGAAGACAAAAUAUUUGUUUCACAUUGGCAUUUGACAAGGAUGACUCGGGGUGUUCGAUUUUAAGAUUUUGAAGGCCUUGUAAACUUAAAGUCUAAAACUAGCCCCUGCAAUUGAUAAAAACAUUUUUGUCAUGGGGAUCAGUUGCAGUUCCACUUCUAAUUGCUUAUUGAACUAUUUGAUUUGGAGCAGAAACUAGUAAUCAUCCGAUACUGAUGAGAGUGUUGUCAAUCCCUAAAUGAAGUUUAUUUAUUUGAACCUUCCCCAAAUUCUGAUACAAUUGGUUACAUACUUGAAGGGGUAGUAGAUGCAAUAGAUGACAGGUAAUUUGUAUAAUGCCUGUUUUGGUAUGCACGUGCUUGUCCCCGUUUGAUACCAUGAAACUAACUGUUCAUUCAUUUGGUGCAUCGUCGGUUGUGUAGUCUGUCAUUUCCCUCCGAGAGUGCUGCUGUGUUGUGCUGCCUUUUUCUAGUUUGAUGGUGGUAGUUGAUUAGGUCUGUAGCAGCUGCAUAACAUGACACAAAUAUUUAAUGUGAUCUCUCUCUUCUCUCUCUCAACAAGUUUUUUAACAGUCAAAUGUUAUUCUUCAGGUACCAGUGCUGAUAUUAUGAAGGUUGGUGGAUACAAGCUAUCGGCAUUAGAAAUUGAAUCAGUUAUUUUAGAGGUAAUGCUUGUUUUCCUUUUCUCAACUGUUUUGCUUGAAGCAAUGCAAAUGACCUCUGUGCUACUGCAUACACUGUUCUUGCUCCUCAAAGUUUUCCAUUUAAAAUAGCACUUUUCUUUUUGGCAGUAAAUAUGAAAAUGUCAUGUAACCAAUCUCCUUUUCUGCAGCACCCAGCUGUAUCAGAGUGUUGUGUGUUGGGUUUACCAGACAAAGACUAUGGAGAGGCUGUGAGCGCAAUCGUUGUACCGAAUGCAGAGCUGAAGAGAAGACGAGAGGAAGAGUUGAAGCCUGCUGUCAGCUUGGAAGAACUUUGCACCUGGGCUAAAGAGAGACUUGCACCAUACAAGGUAUGUCACUGUUCUCAUCCCUUCACUUCUUCCUUUCUCUUGGCUCACAUUUGUGACCGAGCACUCCUAAGUCACCUGUCUUCUCUCAUUGGUCUAUGAAGUGUACUAUAAAACAUCAAAUCAUGCUUUCACACUCUGAUGAAUUUCCGAACGCGAAACCCCGUUGAAGUAAUUUGAAAUACUCAUACCAAUGAGUUUGCUUUUGGUAUUCAUUGAGGCAUUGCUUCUAUCUAGCGACAACUUUUGAACCAUGAUUUCCCCCCCUUAUAUUUUGUGCGUUUCCUUUAAGUAAUUUAGCAAAUUCGGCAUCAUGUUCUCAUUGGUCUACAAAGUGAACUAUAAGAGAUUAAGUCAUGCUUUCACACACUGAAGUAUACUCGCUGAUGAAUUUCUGAAAACAAAGCCCCCCCUUGAAGUCAUAUGAAAACUCAAAUGUUAGACAGCGACGUUGCUUUUGGUAUUCAUCGAGGCGUUGCUUCUAUCUAGUGAUAGAAAUCAACUUUUCCUUCAAGUAGUUUAGCAAAUUUGACAUCAUAUUCUCAUUGGUCUACAAAGCGAACUAUAUAAGACAUUAAAUCAUGCUUUCACACUCUGAAGUAUAUUCGCUGAUGAAUUUCUGAAAACAAAACCCCUUGAAGGCUUCUGAAAACUCAAAUGUUAGACAGCAACGUCACUUUUGGUAUUCAUCGAGGCGUUGCUUCUAUCUAGUGAUGGAAAUCAACUUUUUCUUGAAGUAGUUUAGCUGUUUCAGCAUUUUAUUGAAUGUUAUAACUUUUAAUACUUCAUAUGGGCUGUGUCUUUGAGUGUUGGACUUGAACUGUAUAUUCGAAUGCUUUAGAAAAACUUGAGCGAUGACUGUAAUUAACGAAUAAUCUCACCAUACCACUUCUCUUUCCAGCUACCAACUCGGUUGUUCCUGUGGGAGACGCUUCCUCUCAAUGCUAUGGGAAUGGUGAAUUCCUUCUAAUAUUUUUGUUUAUCAGUAGAACCUUCGCUUUUCCUGUAUUAACUAAUGUUUCUGUGAAAAUUGGCUCAUUACGGCGUUUGAUUUCAAUUCCAGGUGAAUAAAAAUGAACUGAAGAAAAUUCUAGCUGCUGAAGGAUAGUUCAUAUUUUUUCGGUUGCAUUGAUAGCGGAGGAUACAAACAUCAAAUUCGAGUGUUAAGACUCGAUAAAUAAGUUAUGUAACAGUUGUUUAACUUUUGUUAGUUCUUCUUACUUUGUGAAUUGCUGAUGGCUUCGUAUUCAUAGGGAUGCUUAGAAGCCCUUGGAGGAUGUAACCAUGAAAUUAAUCCAGAGUUGUAACACUUCAAGGGUUAUGAAUUUUGAAGAUAUGUGUGGCUGAUUUGCAAUAAUUGUAAUUACAUUACUAGGUAAAAGCAUGUUGAUUGAAUAAUUAUUUCAGUAGAUUAUUUUUGUGAUAAUGCGGUAUUUGGGGCAAGAACCGACUACUCUGGAGGUCUAGUUCCACCGUCCAUUAGAGGGAUCCAAUUAAAGUUGGAGCAAAACCUCGUGUAGACUGUCCUAACUCGGGAAUUGAACUCAAAGAGAUUUCAGACCUUAAAUCUUGGAAGGGAGCAGACUUGCAUGGUCCAAGUUUAGGUCACCACUCCAGAGCAUACUCAAUUUAUAUUAUUUUCAUGAUUAUGGUGCUUUUCAUUACAAUAGUUUUUUAUAUUUUUUUGGGUUCAAAAUUUAAUUUCGAGUUUGACAUUAAAUAGUAAAAUUGAAAAACAUUGAAAAUGUUGUUAUUAUUAUUAUUAUUAUUUUAUUCAUUUAUGGGUGGAGCCCACAAUGCUUUUCCUAUUUUUCCAAUAUUGAUUUUCACUCACUCCUUUUUUCUAAUUACUUUUAUUUUCUUUUUUUAUUAGGUAAAGUUACCUAAAUGAGAAUUAAAAUAUUGUGAAAAAAUAAUUUGAAAGAUAUAAAUAUAAGGUUAUUUGUGUAAUCCCACCUAAUAAAGAUAAAAUUGCAAUCGAAAAAAGAUAAGUAUGAAAAUCAUUGUGGGUCCCACUAACUCAUUUGAAAGAGUUUGUACAAAAUGUGUGCAUAAUAAGUGAUAAUAAUAUUAGGGUUUUGAUUUACACUCUUUUUUUGACAUUUCUACACUUUUUAAAAUUUAUAUCAUAUAGGAAAAAUUAUACAACUGUUCAUUUCUCUUUUAUAUGGACUGUUUGAGGAUACUUUUGUAAUUUUACUAAUAAAGAUAAAAUUUGGAGUGUAGAAUUUUUAAAAAAAAGAGUGUAAAAAUCAAAAUCCUAAUAUUAUUAUUUAUUUAAUUUUCUUGAUGAGUAAUAUUAUAUAAAUAAAAUUUUUAUACAAAAUGAUAUGACAGAACAUGAACAUUUUAAUUUCCAAUAAAACGAUCAUGCUUACUUUUAAGAUUAAUUAAAUAAAUCAAGGUUUCCUAUGUGAUGCAUCCCUACCCUUAAUAAGUCUUUGACCCAAAUUACAAUUAUGGGUGUAUAGACCAUAGUAACUGUAUCUAUAUCGAUAUCCAUCUAUCUACCUAUAUAUCUAUC